rnacentral:rRNA from 1 species
CGUACACAACCUACCCUAAAGAGGGGGAUAGCUCUUGGAAACGAGGAAUAAUACCCCAUAGUACUUAUUGGUCGCAUGAUUGGUAAGUUAAAGGUUUACUGCUUUAGGAUGGGUGUGCGGGCCAUUAGGUAGUUGGAGAGGUAACGGCUCACCAAGCCUACGAUGGUUAGCUGGUCUGAGAGGAUGAUCAGCCACACGGGCACUGAGACACGGGCCCGACUCCUACGGGAGGCAGCAGUAAGGAAUAUUGGACAAUGGGCGAAAGCCUGAUCCAGCCACGCCGCGUGCAGGAUGAAGGUCCUCUGGAUUGUAAACUGCUUUUGACAGAGACGAACUGUCGGGAUUUAUCCUGAAUUGACGGUAUCUGUCGAAUAAGCACCGGCUAACUACGUGCCAGCAGCCGCGGUAAUACGUAGGGUGCAAGCGUUAUCCGGAUUUACUGGGUUUAAAGGGUCCGCAGGCGGUUUGAUAAGUCAGUGGUGAAAUAACAGGGCUCAACCUUGUUGCUGCCAUUGAUACUGUUGAACUUGAGAUUAGUAGAGGUGGGCGGAAUGUAGCAUGUAGCGGUGAAAUGCGUAGAUAUGCUACAGAACACCGAUUGCGAAGGCAGCUCACUGGACUACAUCUGACGCUAAUGGACGAAAGCGUGGGUAGCGAACAGGAUUAGAUACCCUGGUAGUCCACGCCCUAAACGAUGUUUACUCGACAUAUGGACGAUUAGGUGUAUGUGUCUAAGCGAAAGCGUUAAGUAAACCACCUGGGGAGUACGUCGGCAACGAUGAAACUCAAAGGAAUU